rnacentral:rRNA from 1 species
UACAAGUACCGUGAGGGAAAGUUGCAAAGCACUUUGAAGAGAGAGUUAAAGAGGACGUGAAACCGGUAAGGUGGAAACGGAUAGAGUCGGCGUAUCAUUCAAUUAUUCAGUUACAUUAUUUUUAUGUUGUGACCUCUGAGCUCCAGAUUGGGACAGAGGGAAUCAGCAUAAUUUUUUGUGGUGCAUUUACUUGAUUGGUGCUUGGGGAUGUUUGAGGCAGAUUUGUUUCCGUCGUUUUGAGGCCAGCUUGCUGGUACCCAAACGGUGUUAGCAUUUUUUGUCUUGGGCAUUUGAGUAUGGCUCACGUGUAUUUAUUGGACAGAUCUGAGUGUAAGUUACGGUCGCAUGCGACACGUGCUUUUCAAUUAGUUCGGUCCAGUUAAUGCUCUCGUACUCGUUCCCCAUGUAAAAGCCGGUCAUCUAUCCGACCCGUCUUGAAACACGGACCAAGGAGUUUAUCGUGUGCGCAAGUUUUUGGGUGUUAAAAACUUAAAAGCGAAAUGAAAGUAAAUGACUCUUUAGAGUCUGAUGUGCGAUCUUGUAAAAAAGUGUAGCAUGGCCCCAUUCUAACUGUUUACAGUAGGGUGGCGGAAGAGCGUACGCGGUGAGACCCGAAAGAUGGUGAACUAUUCCUGAGCAGGACGAAGCCAGAGGAAACUCUGGUGGAAGUCCGAAGCGGUUCUGACGUGCAAAUCGAUCGUCUGACUUGGGUAUAGGGGCGAAAGACUAAUCGAACCAUCUAGUAGCUGGUUCCUUCCG